GUGGGUGUAGUUCAAAGGUAGAGCGCCAGAUUGUGGUUCUGGAUGUUGUGGGUUCGAGUCCCAUCAUCCACCCCA
rnacentral:tRNA from 1 species